GACGAACGCUGGCGGCGUGCUUAACACAUGCAAGUCGAACGGAAAGUGCUCAGCUUGCUGGGUGACUCGAGUGGCGAACGGGUGAGUAACACGUGGGUGAUCUGCCCUGCACUUUGGGAUAAGCCUGGGAAACUGGGUCUAAUACCGAAUAUUCCUUGCGGGUCGCAUGGCCUGGUGGGGGAAAGCUUUUGCGGUGUGGGAUGGGCCCGCGGCCUAUCAGCUUGUUGGUGGGGGGAUGGCCUACCAAGGCGACGACGGGUAGCCGGCCUGAGAGGGUGUCCGGCCACACUGGGACUGAGAUACGGCCCAGACUCCUACGGGAGGCAGCAGUGGGGAAUAUUGCACAAUGGGCGCAAGCCUGAUGCAGCGACGCCGCGUGAGGGAUGACGGCCUUCGGGUUGUAAACCUCUUUCAAUAGGGACGAAGCGUAAGUGACGGUACCUAUAGAAGAAGCACCGGCCAACUACGUGCCAGCAGCCGCCGUAA
rnacentral:rRNA from 1 species